rnacentral:rRNA from 1 species
AUUGAACGCUGGCGGAAUGCUUUACACAUGCAAGUCGAACGGUAGAGGGGGCAACCCCUCGAGAGUGGCGAACGGGUGAGUAAUAUAUCGGAACGUGCCCAGUCGUGGGGGAUAACGUAGCGAAAGUUACGCUAAUACCGCAUACGAUCUAAGGAUGAAAGCGGGGGAUCGCAAGACCUCGCGCGAUUGGAGCGGCCGAUAUCAGAUUAGGUAGUUGGUGGGGUAAAGGCUCACCAAGCCAACGAUCUGUAGCUGGUCUGAGAGGACGACCAGCCACACUGGAACUGAGACACGGUCCAGACUCCUACGGGAGGCAGCAGUGGGGAAUUUUGGACAAUGGACGCAAGUCUGAUCCAGCCAUGCCGCGUGCAGGAUGAAGGCCCUCGGGUAGUAAACUGCUUUUGUACGGAACGAAAAGGUCUCUCUUAAUACGGGGGACUCAUGACGGUACCGUAAGAAUAAGCACCGGCUAACUACGUGCCAGCCGCCGCAGUAA